ACGGGGUAUCUCCCUCAUUAUUAAAGAUAUAAGGUUGCGGUUUUCGCGAUAGCUGUGACUGAAGAGGACCUUAAUGAUCCUAUAACGGCCUGAGGUAGAGGGGUUUUAGUCGGUAGGUUCGAGGACUUCUUCCUCGGGAAUCCCACACUACCCAGUCGUACAGUUGGCUGGGUGUCUUUUGAAGAUUUCCCCUUUUCC
rfam:Agrilus planipennis Contig31265, whole genome shotgun sequence.